AUGAUGAUAAUUCCAAGAGCUUUCAGAAUGUUCUUCUCAAGAAUUUGAAUGCCCUAUACCGUUUCAUUCGUCCCUAUGCUUGUGCUGGCGUUGUGAGUUGCUUGUUAGCUACUAUCUUCUUCAAAAGAAGUAUAUAAAUCUAUAAUGAAAUGUCAUUUCUAUUGAAUUGACAGAUAUAAGUUUUCGUUUAUCAGGUUAUAGCGGCAACCUCGAAUUCUCUUCUUCC
rnacentral:lncRNA from 1 species